rnacentral:rRNA from 1 species
CUACGGGAGGCUCCAGGCGCGAAACCUUUACAAUGCACGAAAGUGUGAUAAGGGAACCCAAAGUGCUCAUACUUUGUAUGGGCUUUUGCCAAAAGUAAACUUUUUGGCGAAUAAGUGGUGGGAAAGACUGGUGCCAGCCGCCGCGGUAACACCAGCGCCACAAGUGGCAAUCAUGUUUAUUGGGCCUAAAGCGUUCGUAGCCGGUUUGGAAAAUCUUCUGUGAAAGUGUUUGGCUUAACCAAGCAAAUUGCAAGAGACACUACCAAACUAGAGACCGGGAGGAGCUAGGAGUAUUCAAGGGGGAGCGGUAAAAUGUUAUAAUCCUUUGAAGACUACCUGUGGCGAAGGCGCCUAGCUAGAACGGAUCUGACGGUGAGGGACGAAAGCCAGGGGAGCGAUCCGGAUUAGAUACCCUGGUAGUC